UACGUAGGGUGCAAGCGUUAAUCGGAAUUACUGGGCGUAAAGCGUGCGCAGGCGGUUUCGUAAGUCUGUCGUGAAAUCCCCGGGCUUAACCUGGGAAUGGCGAUGGAGACUGCGAGGCUAGAGUUUGGCAGAAGGGGGUAGAAUUCCACGUGUAGCAGUGAAAUGCGCAGAGAUCGGGAGGAACACCAAUGGCGAAAGCAGGUACCUGGACUAUUACUGACACUCAGCUGCGAAAGCUAGGGGAGCAAACAGG
rnacentral:rRNA from 1 species